UAAUAUAAAAAGAGGUGAUACUGGGAAUGGGAGCGGCCACUGUUUUAGGUGAAAAGUUAGAAAGAUUAAAUAAAUAAGGUUAUUUCAAUUUUAUCUGUAAACAACGAUAAACCAUUGUAUAACGAAAGGCGAUUCUGAGCGCAGUUCGGUAACACAUAAUUUGAAGUGUUAUAAUUUUUUAUUUUUUUACGAUUUUCGAUAAAAUUUGAUUUCAAAACACUUAAUAAAACAAAAAGCAGUCCAAUGAUUUUGAAAAUUUUACCACGUCUAGAUAAGUCCAGUAUAAGUAUUAUUAUCAA